AGGACUGGGAGGGAGCAGCCGCCGCGGUUGUCUUUUUCGGGGGUGGGGUCUUCUU
rnacentral:SRP_RNA from 13 species